AUUCAGCAGUAUGGAGUUCGAUAAGCAGUCGGAUAUUGCGUGAAAAACAACUGUUCUUUCGUCGCUCUUUUCUGGAAUGUUUGAUUUUGCUUGUGUCUUUCCUCGUCCAACCAAAAUUAUCUGGUUUCUCUGGACCGCGUUACUGGCUCACACUCUGUCAAAUUCCGGCUUUAAAGGAACACUAGAAUUCCUUGAAAUCUACUGAAUUAAAGAUAUUCUCAGCUCGCGGCUCAGCCUCAGCCUCUACUUUCUCUAUGACGUGUAUCGUAUCGGAUCAUAUCUAAAUUACAAAUUAUUUAGGCAAAGGUGAUCCCGAAAGCGGCCUACGGCAUAACUUGUUUCAGUCCUUAGCCAAGACCUGCGAAGAGCGGGGUUGUAUUGCAAAGUGUCAGUUCCAAGAUGUAGAGCACACCAUGUUUCAUACCUACUGACACACUGCCGUUGCGCCUAAUUAGCACGGAUUGGUUAAAGCCUAAUUAUCAUUGCAGUGGAGCACGCUGAAAAUAUUAGCCCCAAAGGCAGGCAUUCGCGGUCGACUCAUAGACCCUACGGAACGUAUAUGAAAGAAUGGCAACACUCUUGAUGCGACAGCCUGAAGAGGGCGAAAGGCUGAAAAAUUUGCGGAUGCUCUCGUUGUUUCCGAGAUUCUGAUUGGAUCGUGAUAAGUUAGUCGGUGAAGGCGCG